CGGGCGGGCAGGAUUUCGUUGCCAAAAUUUGGUGAUUGGCCUUUUCCUUUGGACAGGCUGAUGCGUUUUGAUGGAGACACGGUUUCCUCUUGGUUCAUGCGAUUAAUACGGCAGUAUAAUUCUAUGUUCUGUUUUACGUCGUUGGGUGCACAAGUUGACCACACUAUCAAUGUUGGAGGUGCUCCAUACGUUUUCAAGAUGAACGGGGUUGUCUAUCAUCGUAUUGGUUCAUUGCUGCCGGCUGAGGGUGCAACUCCCAAGUUCGCGCAAUUGUACAUGGUAGACUCUGCUGACGAGUUGGACUGCAGGUUGAAUGUGUUUGACAGAGAAGAAACUUCU
rnacentral:rRNA from 1 species